UUUGCUUCAGCAGGACAUAUAUUAAAUUAGAAUGACACAGAGAAGAUUAGCAUGGCCCCUGUGCAAGGAUGACACACAAAUUUGUGAAGCGUUCCAUAUUUUU
rnacentral:snRNA from 1 species